ACAUUUUUGCAGGUUGACCCGAGCAGUUGCCGUUCUUUCAUUGCUGAAGAAAUUUUGAAUGCAGGGAAGGAUAUGCAACCGAAGAAUACCACACAUGACGUACCAAGAAGAUACGGACUGCGAGAGCAAGUUCCGGCGAAAAGAUUUUCCGAUUCAUGGUGUGCUGACCAACCGCUGCCGUUGAAACGGACAAGACCACCUGGACAUACGUCAGCGAAG